GGGCACCAUCCCCGGCUCGGCCUCACGGUGGCGGUGCGGGCGCGGCGGGGACACCGAGCAAGAGACCGGGUGCCUGCACGACUCCCAGAAAGUCGCGUCUCCCCUAACCCCCAUGCCCAGGACCUGAGGACAAAGGUCUAGCGAUUGUCCAUCCCCUCCCCCAGUGAGGACAGCCGGGAAAGACCUGCCUUUGUUGUGUACAGGUGGUAUCUCACUGUGUUAUCCAGACUGGACUCAAAUUUCUGGGCUCCAAUGGUCCUCUCACCUCAGCCUCCCAAGUAGUCAGGACUACAGAACUCCAUGGCAAUGUUUUGAGGAUUAAAGAGGAGAGUGAUGACUAUCCAAACGUCAGAGAACGCAACUAUGAGACUAGAGACACUGGAAAACUAAAAAAGUAACGGGCCUUUGCUGACUCAGGGAGAUGAUUUCCCAAGAGGGAAGAAAACUGGAACCUGAGAAAUAAGUGAUUUAGUAAUGUGGCUGCUAAAAUACGGAAAAACUAGAAUGAAUGGCUUACACAUUUUUGAAAUGAAGUUAGAAGAGGGUUAUACUGUGAAGAAGAAUGAAAAAGCCAAACAUUUCAUUCAGGUAAGCAUAUCACAUAGGAGAAACUCUAGGUGACUUUGGUUUGGCAGUGAGUUUUUAGAUACAACACCAAAGCACAAUCCAUAAAAGAAAAGAAAGAUAGAUAAGUUGGACUUCAUUAAAAUGAAA
rnacentral:lncRNA from 1 species